AGGAACUAGGCAAAUUGACCCCGUAAGUUCGCGAGAAGGGGUGCCUGUGAGAGCAGGCCGCAGAGAAUAGGCCCAAGCAACUGUUUAGCAAAAACACAGGUCUCUGCUAAAGCGUAAGCUGAUGUAUAGGGGCUGACGCCUGCCCGGUGCUGGAAGGUUAAGGGGAACACUUAGCGCAAGCGAAGGUGUGAACUUAAGCCACAGUAAACGGCGGCCGUAACAAUAACGGUCCUAAGGUAGCGAAAUUCCUUGUCAGGUAAGUUCUGACCCGCACGAAUGGCGUAAUGACUUGGGCACUGUCUCAACUGCAAAUCCGGCGAAGUUGUAGUGCGAGUGAAGAUGCUCGCUACCCGCGAUUGGACGGAAAGACCCCGUAGAGCUUUACUGUAGCUUAGCAUUGAAUUCCGGUAUUGUCUGUACAGGAUAGGUGGGAGACUGGGAAACUAGGGCGUCAGCCUUAGUGGAGUCAACCUUGGGAUACCACCCUGACAGUACUGGGGUUCUAACAGGACGCCAUGAAACUGGUGACUGGACAUUGUUAGGUGGGCAGUUUGACUGGGCCGGUCGCCUCCUAAAAAGUAACGGAGGCGCCCAAAGGUUCCCUCAGAACGGUCGGGAAUCGUUCGUAGAGUGCAAAGGCAGAAGGGAGCCUGACUGCGAGACCCACAAGUCGAGCAGGGACGAAAGUCGGGCUUAGUGAUCCGGUGGUACCUCGUGGGAGGGCCAUCGCUCAACGGAUAAAAGCUACCUCGGGGAUAACAGGCUGAUCUCCCCCAAGAGUCCACAUCGACGGGGAGGUUUGGCACCUGAUGUCGGCUCGUCGCAUCCUGGGGCUGUAGUAGGUCCCAAGGGUUGGGCUGUUCGCCCAUUAAAGCGGCACGCGAGCUGGGUUCAGAACGUCGUGAGACAGUUCGGUCCCUAUCCGUCGCGGGCGUAGGAAAUUUGAGAGGAGCUGUCCUUAGUACGAGAGGACCGGGAUGGACUGACCUCUGGUGCACCAGUUGUUCUGCCAAGAGCAUAGCUGGGUAGCUAAGUCGGGAAGGGAUAAACGCUGAAAGCAUCUAAGCGUGAAGCCCCCCUCAAGAUGAGUUUUCCCAUAGCAUAAGCUAGUAAGACCCCUUGAAGAACACAAGGUUGAUAGGUCAGAGGUGGAAGUGCGGUAACGUAUGUAGCUGACUGAUACUAAUAGGUCGAGGGCUUGACC
rnacentral:rRNA from 1 species